UAUAGCGGCAGUUACUACUUUCUCCGUAACAGCAUCCACAGUUACGUACUCAUCUUUUUCGUCUCUUGGAAUAAUCCCAUGAUCAAUAUUUGACGGCUCCGAACUCAAAUGAGGUGCCGUUUCAUAGUAUGUUCCUUCAGACUUUAUAACAGCCUCACGAAUGCUAGAUUCAUCAUCAAAAUCAACUUCUUUUUGUAGUCCAGAGAGAUUUCGAAACGGUGUAACCUUACCAGUACGGAUGAGCUCUUGUCUUUCCAAUUCUUCAGU